GGGGGGUCAAGGGUCAGGGAUGGGGGUCAGGGGUCAGGGAUGGGGAGUUAGAGGUCAGGGACGGGGGUCUGAGACCAAGGAUGGGGGUUGGAGGUCAGAGCUGGAGUCAGAGGUCAAAGGUCAGGGAGUCACGGGGGUCAAGGGUCAGGGAUGGGGGGAGGGGGGCCCAGGGUUAGGGCUGGGGGUCAAAGGUCAGAUGUGAGGUCAGAGGUCAGGGCUGGGGGUCAGAAGUCAGGGCUGAGGGUCAGAGGUCAGGGCUGGGGGUCAGAGGUCAGAUGUGAGUUCAGAGGUCAGGGCAGGGGUCAGAUGACAUUGCUGGGGGUCAGAGGUCAGGGCUGGGGUCAGAGGUCAGAGGUCAGGGCGGGCGCUGACCGGCGCGGGGCGCUGCAGGAUGCGGCUCCAGGAAUUGGUGCUGAAGUUGAACAUCACCAGAUCCCCCAAUGGGGCGCCCAGGGCCUGCCCUAAAAACGGACCCACAGACCCCACUGAUCCCAUAGGGUGACCCACACACCCCAUACAGACACACACACCCCAUAGAAACACAUGGCGCCCCAUAGAGACCCACAGACCCCAUAGGAACACACACAGCCCCAUAGAUCCCAUAGAGACCCACAGACCCCAUAGAUCCCAGAGAGCGACCCACAGAUCCCAUAAAUCCCAUAGCAACACACAGCAACCCACAGAGACCCCAUAGAGACCCACAGACCCCAUAGAUCCCACAGACUGACCCACACACCCCAUACAGACACACACACCCCAUAGAAACACAUGGCGCCCCAUAGAGACCCACAGACCCCAUAGAUCCCAGAGAGCGACCCACAGAUCCCAUAAAUCCCAUAGGAACACGCAGCGCCCCAUACAGACCCCAUAGAGACCCCAUAGAGACCCACAGAUCCCAUAGGAACACACGGUGCCCCAUACAGACCCACACACCCCAUAGAGACCCACACACCCCAUAGAUCCCAUAGGGUGACCCACACACCCCAUAAAUCCCAUAGGAACACACAGCACCCCAUAGAGACCCACAGAUCCCAUAGGAACACAUGGCACCCCAUAGAGACCCACAGAUCCCGUAGAUCCCAUAGGGUGACCCACAGAUCCCAUAAAUCCCAUAGCAACACAUGGCGCCCCAUAGAGACCCACAGACCCCAUAGAUCCCAUAGGGUGACCCACACACCCCAUAGAGACCCACAGACCCCAUAGAUCCCAGAGAGUGACCCACAGACCCCAUAAAUCCCAUAGGAACACGCAGCACCCCAUAGAGACCCAGAGACCCCAUAGGAACACACAGCGCCCCAUAGACCCCAUAGAGACCCACAGACCCCAUAGAUCCCAUAGGGUGACCCACACACCCCAUAGAGACCCACAGACCCCAUAGAUCCCAUAGGAACACGCAGCACCCCAUAGAGAACCAUAGAUCCUAUAGAUCCCAUAGAGACCCACACACCCCAUAGGAACACACGGC
rnacentral:lncRNA from 1 species